rnacentral:lncRNA from 1 species
UGACCAGAGAUUCUUCUGUACAUGGGCCUGGUCCCAUCCUCGUCAAAAACUGCUGUCAAAGAUGGCCACCUGAAGCCGAGUGCAUGUGCAUAUUCGGAAUGGUGUGGACUUCACUAAGCAGUGUGUUUGGUUGUGGCCAGACAGUAAGACAUGUUCCUUCCACGUGAGCUGAAAGAGGAGCAGGCCCGCUUGCUGCUGUCUGAGGAAGGGAAGGAGCAGCUGAUGUUUGAGGUCCCUCUCAACGAUUCGGGCUCAGCUGGGUAA